AGGAGGGGUUCGGAUUACUGGGCGUAAGCGCGCGUAGGCGGCUAAUUAAGUCAAAUGGUGAAAUCCCCGAGCUUAACUUGGGAAUUGCAUUCGAUACUGGUUAGCUAGAGUGUGGGAGAGGAUGGUAGAAUUCCAGGUGUAGCGGUGAAAUGCGUAGAGAUCUGGAGGAAUACCGAUGGCGAAGGCAGCCAUCUGGCCUAACACUGACGCUGAGGUGCGAAAGCAUGGGGAGCAAACAGGAUUAGAUACCCUGGUAGUCCAUGCCGUAAACGAUGUCUACUAGCCGUUGGGGCCUUUGAGGCUUUAGUGGCGCAGCUAACGCGAUAAGUAGACCGCCUGGGGAGUACGGUCGCAAGACUAAAACUCAAAGGAAAAUUGACGG
rnacentral:rRNA from 1 species